UUUAUGGAGAGUUUGAUCCUGGCUCAGGAUGAACGCUGGCGGCGUGCCUAAUACAUGCAAGUCGAGCGAACGGACGAGAAGCUUGCUUYUCUGAUGUUAGCGGCGGACGGGUGAGUAACACGUGGAUAACCUACCUAUAAGACUGGGAUAACUUCGGGAAACCGKAGCUAAUACCGGAURAUAUUUUGAACCGCAUGGUUCAAAAGUGAAAGACGGUCUUGCUGUCACUUAUAGAUGGAUCCGCGCUGCAUUAGCUAGUUGGUAAGGUAACGGCUUACCAAGGCAACGAUGCAUAGCCGACCUGAGAGGGUGAUCGGCCACACUGGAACUGAGACACGGUCCAGACUCCUACGGGAGGCAGCAGUAGGGAAUCUUCCGCAAUGGGCGAAAGCCUGACGGAGCAACGCCGCGUGAGUGAUGAAGGUCUUCGGAUCGUAAAACUCUGUUAUUAGGGAAGAACAUAUGUGUAAGUAACUGUGCACAUCUUGACGGUACCUAAUCAGAAAGCCACGGCUAACUACGUGCCAGCAGCCGCGGUAAUACGUAGGUGGCAAGCGUUAUCCGGAAUUAUUGGGCGUAAAGCGCGCGUAGGCGGUUUUUUAAGUCUGAUGUGAAAGCCCACGGCUCAACCGUGGAGGGUCAUUGGAAACUGGAAAACUUGAGUGCAGAAGAGGAAAGUGGAAUUCCAUGUGUAGCGGUGAAAUGCGCAGAGAUAUGGAGGAACACCAGUGGCGAAGGCGACUUUCUGGUCUGUAACUGACGCUGAUGUGCGAAAGCGUGGGGAUCAAACAGGAUUAGAUACCCUGGUAGUCCACGCCGUAAACGAUGAGUGCUAAGUGUUAGGGGGUUUCCGCCCCUUAGUGCUGCAGCUAACGCAUUAAGCACUCCGCCUGGGGAGUACGACCGCAAGGUUGAAACUCAAAGGAAUUGACGGGGACCCGCACAAGCGGUGGAGCAUGUGGUUUAAUUCGAAGCAACGCGAAGAACCUUACCAAAUCUUGACAUCCUUUGACAACUCUAGAGAUAGAGCCUUCCCCUUCGGGGGACAAAGUGACAGGUGGUGCAUGGUUGUCGUCAGCUCGUGUCGUGAGAUGUUGGGUUAAGUCCCGCAACGAGCGCAACCCUUAAGCUUAGUUGCCAUCAUUAAGUUGGGCACUCUAAGUUGACUGCCGGUGACAAACCGGAGGAAGGUGGGGAUGACGUCAAAUCAUCAUGCCCCUUAUGAUUUGGGCUACACACGUGCUACAAUGGACAAUACAAAGGGCAGCGAAACCGCGAGGUCAAGCAAAUCCCAUAAAGUUGUUCUCAGUUCGGAUUGUAGUCUGCAACUCGACUACAUGAAGCUGGAAUCGCUAGUAAUCGUAGAUCAGCAUGCUACGGUGAAUACGUUCCCGGGUCUUGUACACACCGCCCGUCACACCACGAGAGUUUGUAACACCCGAAGCCGGUGGAGUAACCUUUUAGGAGCUAGCCGUCGAAGGUGGGACAAAUGAUUGGGGUGAAGUCGUAACAAGGUAGCCGUAUCGGAAGGUGCGGCUGGAUCACCUCCUUUCU
rnacentral:rRNA from 1 species